GACGAACGCUGGCGGCGUGCUUAACACAUGCAAGUCGAACGGAAAGGCCCUGCUUUUGUGGGGUGCUCGAGUGGCGAACGGGUGAGUAACACGUGAGUAACCUGCCCUUGACUUUGGGAUAACUUCAGGAAACUGGGGCUAAUACCGGAUAGGAGCUCCUGCUGCAUGGUGGGGGUUGGAAAGUUUCGGCGGUUGGGGAUGGACUUGCGGCUUAUCAGCUUGUUGGUGGGGUAGUGGCUUACCAAGGCUUUGACGGGUAGCCGGCCUGAGAGGGUGACCGGCCACAUUGGGACUGAGAUACGGCCCAGACUCCUACGGGAGGCAGCAGUGGGGAAUAUUGCACAAUGGGCGGAAGCCUGAUGCAGCAACGCCGCGUGCGGGAUGACGGCCUUCGGGUUGUAAACCGCUUUCGCCUGUGACGAAGCGUGAGUGACGGUAAUGGGUAAAGAAGCACCGGCUAACUACGUGCCAGCAGCCGCGGUGAUACGUAGGGUGCGAGCGUUGUCCGGAUUUAUUGGGCGUAAAGGGCUCGUAGGUGGUUGAUCGCGUCGGAAGUGUAAUCUUGGGGCUUAACCCUGAGCGUGCUUUCGAAUACGGGUUGACUUGAGGAAGGUAGGGGAGAAUGGAAUUCCUGGUGGAGCGGUGGAAUGCGCAGAUAUCAGGAGGAACACCAGUGGCGAAGGCGGUUCUCUGGGCCUUUCCUGACGCUGAGGAGUGAAAGCGUGGGGAGCGAACAGGCUUAGAUACCCUGGUAGUCCACGCUGUAAACGGUGGGUACUAGGUGUGGGGUCCAUUCCACGGGUUCCGUGCCGUAGCUAACGCUUUAAGUACCCCGCCUGGGGAGUACGGCCGCAAGGCUAAAACUCAAAGGAAUUGACGGGGCCCCGCACAAGCGGCGGAGCAUGCGGAUUAAUUCGAUGCAACGCGUAGAAUCUUACCUGGGUUUGACAUGGAUCGGGAGUGCUCAGAGAUGGGUGUGCCUCUUUUGGGGUCGGUUCACAGGUGGUGCAUGGCUGUCGUCAGCUCGUGUCGUGAGAUGUUGGGUUAAGUCCCGCAACGAGCGCAACCCUUGUUCACUGUUGCCAGCACGUUAUGGUGGGGACUCAGUGGAGACCGCCGGGGUCAACUCGGAGGAAGGUGGGGAUGACGUCAAGUCAUCAUGCCCCUUAUGUCCAGGGCUUCACGCAUGCUACAAUGGCUGGUACAGAGAGUGGCGAGCCUGUGAGGGUGAGCGAAUCUCGGAAAGCCGGUCUCAGUUCGGAUUGGGGUCUGCAACUCGACCUCAUGAAGUCGGAGUCGCUAGUAAUCGCAGAUCAGCAACGCUGCGGUGAAAAAGUUCCCGGGGCU
rnacentral:rRNA from 1 species